rnacentral:rRNA from 1 species
CAAUAGCAUAUAUUAACGUUGUUGCAGUUGAAAAGCUCGUAGUUGAACUUUUGGUAGGAGCGACCUGGCCUUGGGCGCAUGCCCUUGUUUGCCGUGUGUCGUAUCUGGCCAUCCUUUUCUUCUUUUUGGAAGGAAUCUUUUACUGUGAGUAAACUGGAGUGCUCAAAACAAGACGUUUGUUUGGUACAUUAAAGCAUGGAAUAAUAAGAUAGGACCUGGUUACUAUUUUGUUGGUUUGCAUAGCUAGGUAAUGAUUAACAGGGACAGUUGGGGGUAUUCGUAUUUAAUUGUCAGAGGUGAAAUUCUUGGAUUUAUGAAAGACGAACGACUGCGAAAGCAUUUACCAAGGAUGUUUUCAUUAA